UACAGAGGGGGCAAGCGUUGUUCGGAAUUACUGGGCGUAAAGGGCGCGUAGGUGGCCUUCUAAGUCGAACGUGAAAUCCCUGGGCUCAACCCAGGAACUGCGUCCGAGACUGGGAGGCUUGAAUCCGGGAGAGGGAUGCGGAAUUCCAGGUGUAGCGGUGAAAUGCGUAGAUAUCUGGAGGAACACCGGUGGCGAAGGCGGCAUUCUGGACCGAUAUUGACGCUGAGGAGCGAAAGCCAGGGGAGCAAACGGG
rnacentral:rRNA from 1 species